rnacentral:lncRNA from 1 species
GCCAGCACUGUGAGUUCCUAGAGUUCCCCGAUGAGCCCCAUUAGGCUGAUACUGUCCUGGAGACAGGAUGCUGCCUACAGAGGUUGCCUUGAGUUUUAUCUACAGGCACAAGACCUACAGGACUUGAAGGGAUGCAGGUGAAUGACUCCAUGGCAUCCAUGUGUAAAAUUCACUGGGGGAAACUGACAUUCAAGAAUGUUUCAGUGAAAAAUUUGGCCUUUGACUGAAGAUGGUCUGCAGCUUUUCCGGUUGUGAGCUCUCUAGCUUUGAAUUUUGGCUUUGCUUCCCCACCCCCCCCAUUACAUUCUCAGUGAGAGAAUGGAUACUCUAGUAUGAUGAUCAAAGCUCACUUUAGAUUUCAUCAUUACCGAUUGGUAAUUAAUUUGCAUUUCAGUGUGUGCUAAGUCACCCAGGAAAUGUUAUCUUCAUCCCAGUCCCAUCUGAAUCUCAAGAAUGACUCAAGAAUUUUGCUUCUUUCCUCAAUGAAGAUGGAAACAAUUUUGCAUUUGUUAUUUUUGCGGGAGCUCCAGCUUGACAAGAAGAAAUUCUUAAGCUGAUUGUGUGACAUGAACAUCUAAACAGAGUAACCAGAUUCCAGUGGCGUGACCGACAUCAGUUUAUACAUUCUUUCUCUGCCCCUUAUCCUUUCAACAAAAUGGUAAAUAAUUUCAUUUGCAGGCAGAUAUCAUGGGCAUUUUUUUGCCCUGGCAGUUCUUAUUUUAAUGAGAAAUUUGCUUUAUCUGGUCAUAUGUUAGUUGAGUGUGUCCUGAUUUUACGUAGCAGGUGUUUAUGAAGAAUCCUGGAGGGUCUCCCUCCAUCCUGAUGACUUCCUCUCUCCAGUGGUGAGCUUGAAAGGUGGACACUGUUCUGGGAGGUCCCCUUAGCCCUCAGGUCAUCUCGAUGCCUGCCUCUGUCUAAAGAAAGCAUUGGCGAUUUGGAAGAGGGGUGAGACCUUGUCUCCGGUCUCUUCCCCAUGAGAGUACCAAGCUCUGCCAAGCUCCCUUGGGGAGAAUUACUUUGACAUUAUGAUACCACAGACCUGCGGUCUCUAAUUUUGACCGAUGCUAUAACCUGCAGCACUCGCAAUGCGGCUCUUGUGUUGCGUGUGGUGGACCAGAGCCCUUGUUUCUGUGUCAUUUGUCAACUUGCGUUUUUAGACGUGACGGAUGAGAAUAAGAUCAUCAACCCACUUCAUUCUAAGAUGAAACAAAAGCCAUUGUGACUGAAAUAGAGAGUUUGGUGUGACUCACUCUACCAUCAAAUAUGCUUUGUACACAGAGUUCCAAAGAGAUUUCUAACUUUUAGGCACCAUUUUAAGGUCUCGAGACCUGAUUAAACUUGAGAAUGGACAGAGGUCUCCUUGGCUUUCCCCCUACCCCCCCACAACACACACAAAAUAGAAGUGACACCUCCCCCCCCCACCCCAAAACAGAUUCCAAGCAUUUGGGU